GAGGUAGUGACAAGAAAUAACAAUACGGGGCUUAAUGUCUUGUAAUUGGAAUGAUGGGAAUUUAAACCUCUUCCAGAGUAUCAAUUGGAGGGCAAGUCUGGUGCCAGCAGCCGCGGUAAUUCCAGCUCCAAUAGCGUAUAUUAAAAUUGUUGCAGUUAAAAAGCUCGUAGUUGAAUUUCUGCUGCAUCGUCGCAUCUCUUGCUGAGUGCUUCGUUUCGGCUUAUUUCGGAUUGAUUUUUUCUUUCCGGAUGAUUACUUUGAGAAAAUUAGAGUGCUCAAAGCAGGCUUUUGCCUUGAAUAGUUUAGCAUGGAAUAAUAAAGUAGGACUUUGGUUCUAUUUUGUUGGUUUUAGGUACCAAAGUAAUGGUUAAUAGGAACAGUUGGGGGCAUUCGUAUUUAACUGUCAGAGGUGAAAUUCUUAG
rnacentral:rRNA from 1 species